rnacentral:rRNA from 1 species
GAUGAACGCUGGCGGCGUGCCUAAUACAUGCAAGUCGAGCGAACAGACGAGGAUCUUGCUCCUCUGACGUUAGCGGCGGACGGGUGAGUAACACGUGGAUAACCUACCUAUAAGACUGGGAUAACUUCGGGAAACCGGAGCUAAUACCGGAGAAUAUAUUGAACCGCAUUGUGCAAUAGUGAAAUACGGUUUUGCUGUCACGUAUAGAUGGUUCCGCGCCGCAUUAGGUAGUUGGUAAGGUAACGGCUUACGAAGGCGACGAUGCGUAGCCGCCCUGCGAGGAUGAGCGGCCACCCUGGAACGGAGACAGGCUACAGACUCCUUCAGGAGGCAGCAGUAGGGAUUCUGGAGGAAGGAGCGAAAGCCUGACGGCGAAGCGCCGCGUGAGUGAUGAGGGUCUCCGGAUCGUAGAACUCUGUUAUCAGGGAAGAAAACGUGUUUAAGUAACUCUAAGCGUCUGGACGGUAACUGGGCAGAGAAGCACCGGUAACUUACUG